UGAGGAAUAUUGGUCAAUGGGCGCAAGCCUGAACCAGCCAUGCCGCGUGCAGGAUGACGGUCCUAUGGAUUGUAAACCGCUUUUGUACGGGAAGAAACCCUCCUACGUGUAGGAGCUUGACGGUACCGUAAGAAUAAGGAUCGGCUAACUCCGUG
rnacentral:rRNA from 1 species